rnacentral:misc_RNA from 1 species
UUUUACUUAUUAACUGAACCUAAUAUCUUUACUUUUUUAAGCAUUGUAUGGCACUUUGUGAUACCAUGAGGAGCUUUUUGAAAAAGAAAAAUUCCUGCUGUAUGGCAAGAUAGCUUUUUUUAAAAAAGCUGGGCAUAUCAGUAAGCAUGUUUGGUUUCUAUUUUCGUCAUUAUAAAUUUCUUCAUCAAAUUGCUAUACUACAUCAUACAAUAUGAUCUAUUGGUUGCCUUUUGAAAUGUGAACUUAUCUAAAUUUGCCAUUGACUGAUGUCUGGAAUUGUGAUCAAAUAUGCUCAAACUAAUUGACGAAAUAUGCUUCAAGUAUUCACCACAUCAACUUAGUGACCAAGUUCUUCAAUGCAAAGUCCAGAUCUUGGCAUUGGAGAUCAAGUCUUGACUUCAUAUAAACAUAUAUAAGUAACAUGAGAAACAUUCUCUCAACUAAAGGCAAUGAUGAGCAAAAGUAAAGCAUGGAAUAUCAAGCUCGUGAGUGAGGGAAAUUUGGUGUAUUUCAGUAAUUAGCAUUUUGAUUGGCCUUGUGUCCUCCCAAUUUUCUAAGUGUUUUGCAUUCCCUUUGUGUUCUCCCAAUUUUGUAGUUGAAAUGUUUUAUCAUUUUUGCCAUGAAUGUAGAUUUUAAGUGGAACCUUGUCAAAUUCCUGUGCUCUCUGGAAUUAUUACUUUUGCAUGUUUUCUUUUCCUUUUUCUCUAUUGACCAAUUUUAUAUAUUGUUUGGUAUGUUGCAACAUUUGCACAUAUCAUGUACUUGGGAUUUUGUUGUCUUAGCUAAUUGCUGGUUGUCUGGAAUUCUUUUUUGACUUUGAUUUUUCAUCUCGUUUCAGAAAAAGAGUACACGAACAUAUGCAUCAGAGUCUCGGAAUGCCAAGGACAGAGAUUCAAAUGAGAU